rnacentral:rRNA from 1 species
GAAUUGACGGGGCCCGCACAAGCGGAGGAACAUGUGGUUAAUUCGAUGAUUACGCGAGGAACCUUACCUGGGCUUAAAUGUAGAGUGCAUGAGGUAGAAAUACUUCUUUUCUUCGGAACUCUCUGCAAGGUGCUGCAUGGUUGUCGUCAGCUCGUGCCGUGAGGUGUCGGGUUAAGUCCCAUAACGAGCGCAACCCUUAUCGUUAGUUGCCAGCGGGUAAUGCCGGGGACUCUAGCGAAACUGCCGGUGUAAACCGAGAGGAAGGUGGGAUGACGUCAAAUCAGCACGGCCCUUAUGUCCAGGGCUACACACGUGUUACAAUGGCCGGUACAGAGGGCAGCUACCUGGAGACAGGAUGCGAAUCUCGAAAGCCGGUCUCAGUUCGGAUCGGAGUCUGCAACUCGACUCCGUGAAGCUGGAUUCGCUAGUAAUCGCGCAUCAGCCAUGGCGCGGUGAAUACGUUUCCGGGCCUU